rnacentral:lncRNA from 1 species
GGGGAGACCUGAGAAGAGGGACCUCAACCGAAUAAAUCAAUGAGUAUGCUGGCCCAGGCAGUCUGAGCGCUUGUGAUUCCUGAUGGCUGCUUCUAGCUUUAUCUCCUUGGCUGGGAUGCUUCGUUCUCUUGGUUUGAGACCACUUCUGCCCCAGGCAUGAACGGGGAGGUCUCUAAGGUGGAAGGCAAUCGUGUGGAUGGGUGGGUGGUUUAUGGUACCUGCUUCUUUCUGGGGAAGUGGUGGCAUUGAUAUGGAGGGAGAGGAAAUAACUAGAAUCUGAUUUCUAGUGGAGCGGUGUGACCUUUUCAUUGCCUGCUAGAUCAAAAGAGGAGAGUGGUAGCCCCUGGGCUGGUGGGCUGGCCUUCCUCAUUUUGGCUCCUUUUCCCUUCUUCCUUCCCCCUUCCCUCUUCUCUCUCCUCUCCCUUCUUCCCCCCUCUCUAUCUCUCUCCCUCUCUCCUCCCCUCUCUCUUUUUCUUCUUUCCCUUCUUCCCCCCCUAUCCCUCUCCUCACUUCCUCUCUCCUCUCUUCUCUCCUCUCUCUCCCCACCUCCUUCCUGUCUCUUCUCUCCUCUCUCUCUCCUUCUCUCCACUUCCUUCCUCUCUCCUCUCUUGUCUCCUUUCUCUCCCUCUCCCCACCUCCUUCCUCUCUCUUCUCUCCUCUCCCCACCUCCUUCCUCUCUCCUCUUUCUCUUCUUUCCCUUCUUCCCCCCUCUCUAUCCCUCUCCCCACUUCUUCCUCUCUCCCUCUCCCCACCUCCUUCCUCUCUCCUCUUUCUCUUCUUUCCCUUCUUCCCCCCUCUCUAUCCCUCUCCCCACUCCUUCCUCUCUCUCUCUCCCCACCUCCUUCCUCUCUCUUCUCUCCUCUCUCUCUCCCUCUCUCCUCUCCUCUCUCUUUCUCUUCUUUCCCUUCUUCCCCCUCUCUAUCCUCUCCCCACUCCUUCUCUCUCUCUCCCCACUCCUUCCUCUCUCUCUCUUCCUCUCUCUCUCCCUCUCUCCUCUCUCUCUCUUUCUCUUCUUUCCCUUCUUCCCCCCUCUCUAUCCCUCUCCUCACCUCCUCCCUCUCUCCUCUCUUCUCUCUCCCUCUCUCCACUUCCUUCCUCUCUCCUCUCUUCUCUCCUCUCUCUCCCUCUCCCCACCUCCUUCCUCUCUCUUCUCUCCUCUCCCCACCUCCUUCCUAUCUCCUCUCUUCUCUUCUCUUUCUCCCUCUCUCUUCUCUCCUCUCCCACCUCCUUCCUAUCUCCUCUCCCCACCUCCUUCCUAUCUCCUCUCUUCUCUUCUCUUUCUCCCUCUCCCCACCUCCUUCCUUUCUCCUCUCUCUCUUCUUUCUCUUCUUCCUCCCUCUCUCUCCCUCUCCCCACCUCCUUCCUCUGUCCUCUCUUCUCGCUCAAGCUGGUGGGAGCUACAUUCUGGCUCACCACAACCAGGACUUCUGUUCUCCUGGGCAUCGAGUUGGGGAGCAGGGGCCCGGUGCCGAGCAUCUGUGAGCCUCUGGGGGUCCACCUC